rnacentral:rRNA from 1 species
GUUCAAACAUAAAAGGUGGCUUCGGCUACCACUUACAGAUGGACCCGCGGCGCAUUAGCUAGUUGGUGAGGUAAUGGCUCACCAAGGCGACUAUGCGUACCCGACCUGAGAGGGUGAUCGGCCACACUGGGACUGAGACACGGCCCAGACUCCUACGGGAGGCAGCAGUAGGGAAUCUUCCGCAAUGGACCAAAGUCUGACGGAGCAACGCCGCGUGAGUGAUGAAGGUUUUCGGAUCGUAAAGCUCUGUUGUUAGGGAAGAACAAGUACCGUUCGAAUAGGGCGGUACCUUGACGGUACCUAACCAGAAAGCCACGGCUAACUACGUGCCAGCAGCCGCGGUAAUACGUAGGUGGCAAGCGUUGUCCGGAAUUAUUGGGCGUAAAGGGC